rnacentral:lncRNA from 1 species
AUGCAGUGGAUUAUGAAUUACAGUGUCACCAAAAGAGAUGAACAAAAAUUCAACUUAAAGUUGAUUUUGAGCUGCUAUUCUUGCCAGGCGACGUCUGAGUUCCGGGGUCUCAGGGCGUUGAUGGGGAGGAGACGUCUGCUUCCUGUCCCCAUCGGUCCUCUGAUGACACACCCUGGAUGUAAGGUUCUCCUCCAGGAUUUGGUCUUUGCAUGUUGGGGUCUCAAGGAAACAGCGGCUGUGCAGGCCUCUCCAAGGUGUGAGAGGCUACCCCCCAGCUCCCCGGCGCCACCUGCCAUUCUUUUGGCUGCUACAAGAAAAGGAAUAAGGGAUGGAUGGUUUGACUUGCAGCACAUGCUGCCUAUUAUUUUUGGUUGUUCUACAUUUUAACCCCGAUGGUAUUCCAGGCAACUGAAAGGAAGUUGCUGGAGAAGAAGACUUUACCUCAAUAUAUAGAAGCUGCCCUUGACAUGUUGCAGGAAUAUGGGUUUUGGAGAAGACAGACGUGGGUUCGUAAAUAAGAGUGUGAACUUCCUGACACACAGGAAUUAAAACGUGAUCAGAAAACAUUCUUCACUAGGAUGAGGAAUUGAGAAGUCAGGGAGGAGAGCUACAUUUCAUUGAGGGCCCCUAUUUUUCUCUUUAGAAAUGUUCAUUGCUUUUUUAAUUGUGAAAGUCACACAAAUUCGUUAUGGGAAAUUUUUGAAAUGUAAAAAUGGUGUAAACAAAAACAUUAAAAGUCACCCAUAAUCUCACCAGAAACGACCGUUGUAAAUAUUUUGACAUGUUUUCUUCUGGCCUUUUGUCUCUGUGUGUGGGUGUGUGUAGAUUUACAUAAUUCUGCUAAUUCUUUUACACACACUUUGCAUCCUCUUUUUGUUGUGUUUUUUUUGUUUGUUUUCUUACAUCUACUGUUAUACCAUGAGUUUUUUCAAUUUUCCCCUAAAAUAUCUGUGAAGCCACCAAAAAACAAGAUGAAAGAGAAACUGAAAAAUAAACGUAUCUUUUCUUGAGGGCA